UACGUAGGGUGCGAGCGUUAAUCGGAAUUACUGGGCGUAAAGCGUGCGCAGGCGGUUCGUUGUGUCGGCGGUGAAAUCCCCGGGCUCAACCUGGGAAUGGCCGUUGAAACUGGCGAACUGGAGUGUGGCAGAGGGGGGUGGAAUUCCACGUGUAGCAGUGAAAUGCGUAGAGAUGUGGAGGAACACCGAUGGCGAAGGCAGCCCCCUGGGUCAACACUGACGCUCAUGCACGAAAGCGUGGGGAGCAAACAGG
rnacentral:rRNA from 1 species